GUAACACGUAGUCAACCUGCCCUGGAGACAUGGACAACCCCGGGAAUCUGGGAUUAAUCCGUGAUAGGUCAUCUCAUCUGGAAGGAGAGAUGGCUUAGAGGGGUACGCGCGGCUUCUUCUGCGUAUCUGCUCCAGGAUGGGACUGCGUCCGAUCAGGCUGUUGGCGGGGUAAUGGCCCACCAAACCUGUAACCGGUACGGGCCUUGAGAGAGGUGGCCCGGAGAUGGACACUGAGAGAAGGGUCCAGGUCCUACGGGGCGCAGCAGGCGCGAAACCUUCGCAAUGCGCGAAAGCGUGACGAGGUUAAUCCGAGUGGCCCCCGCUGAGGGGGUCUUUUGUCAGCUGUAGAUAGGCAGGCGAAUAAGGGGAGGGCAAGCCUGGUGUCGGCCGCCACGGUACUACCAGCUCCUCGAGUGGUCAGGGCGAUUAUUGGGCCUAAACCAUCCGUAGCCGGUUCCGGAGGUCCUCAGUUAAAUCCAGCCGCUUGACGGUUGACAGGCGGACGAUCCCGCGAGACU
rnacentral:rRNA from 1 species